rnacentral:rRNA from 1 species
UCCGUAGGUGAACCUGCGGAAGGAUCAUUACCGAGUGCGGGUCCUUUGGGCCCAACCUCCCAUCCGUGUCUAUUAUACCCUGUUGCUUCGGCGGCGCCCGAAGGCCCUCACCGGCCGGAGUGCCCGCCGGGGACCCCCCAAACUCUUGUUUUUAACAAAAUGGCCUCUCUGAGUACUGUACUUUAAUAAGUCAAAACUUUCAACAACGGAUCUCUUGGUUCUGGCAUCGAUGAAGAACGCAGCGAAAUGCGAUAAGUAAUGUGAAUUGCAGACUUCAGUGAAUCAUCGAAUCUUUGAACGCACAUUGCGCCCGCGAGUAUUCUCGCGGGCAUGCCUGUUCGAGCGUCAUUUCAACCAUCAAGCCCCCGGCUUGUGUUGGGGACCUGCGGCUGCCCGCAGGCCCUGAAAUCCAGUGGCGGGCUCGCUGUCCCACCGAGCGUAAUACCAUACUUCUCGCUCCGGGAGCGCGGCGGGCGCCUGCCGUAAAACCCCCUACAUACCAAAGGUUGACCUCGGAUCAGGUAGGAAUACCCGCUGAACUUAAGCAUAUCAAUAAGCGGAGG